rnacentral:tRNA from 1 species
AGGGACAUGGCUCAAGUGAUAAAGCUUCUGCCUUCCAAGUGGAAGGCCCUGGGUUCAAUCCCUAGUAUCAAUA